ACCGCGAGUUCCGCGCCUGCCCGAGUCGCCCCACGCGGGGGACCGUGGGCUCAGCGCGUGGCGCCCGGAGCAU
ensembl:miRNA